CAACUAUUCAGCAGGUUUUCCCGGUAAUCUCAGCUCUCCUUAACAUGCAGCUUUGCAACUCCCUUUUGCAACUGUUGGAUGCACUGUGAAUAGACUCCCAAUGAUCAGACAAAUUCAUACCACACCUUCCUUGAAAUUCUUUACAUUCAUGUCCCUGAGCCAAUAGUAAAAAGUCAAUUGUAGCUCUAUUCUGUAACACAGCAGGUCUGACUGAAUUAACAUCCAAAGGCAGUUCACUUAGUACCUUGCAUGUUGCAUUUGUUUGCUUUGCAAGACAGCAUCCUAAUUUGUUUCUUGUAGCUUUUGCUGUUCCUACAAGGGCAAAUAGUGAAGCAAAAAUUCAGGGUGCUUUAUCCCAAUAGGUUCCCCUCUCGUCACAGGCUGCAGCAAAAGCAGGAGUAGAGCAUCCCUUUGGUCUCGCCCCAGCAGUGUGUGCAGGAGAACAUCAGGAACAUUGGGGACCAUACAGGUACAGUGAGCUGGUCCAACUGUGGCAAGAAGAGCAAGUGGGCUGUGAAGGUUUGGAGCAGUCUGCAAGGUUCCUCAUGCCCAAAGGAAGUGCAGCCCUGGAAGAGUCAGGAAUACUGACAAGUGCCCCAGUUCUGGUGAAGCUCAACUGUGUAAAACACUUAUGGAGCUAAAAUUCCACAGCACUGAGCUGUUGGGUCCCAAAUAAUAAUGAAGAGAGAGGCAGAAACUCCCCCUGCUGCUGGGGCUGAACUGUCUGCAGUGACUGGGCAGGACUUGGCCCUGAUGCCUGAGUGCUCUCCAACCCCCCCAGGCUCGAUCCCAGCUGUCAGCCCCUGGCUCCAUAACUUGAGAAGAGGGUGUUCCUGCCAGCCCAGCUGCUGUGUUGGUGGUCCUGGGGGCACCUCCUGCCCUGGCCUGCUGUGAAUGUGUUUGUGUUGUAGCUCAAUAAAGUCCCUUUCAGUGGUGA